rnacentral:rRNA from 1 species
UUCCAGACUCCUACGGGAGGCAGCAGUGGGGAAUAUUGCACAAUGGGGGAAACCCUGAUGCAGCGACGCCGCGUGAGUGAAGAAGUAUUUCGGUAUGUAAAGCUCUAUCAGCAGGGAAGAAAAAAGACGGUACCUGACUAAGAAGCCCCGGCUAACUACGUGCCAGCAGCCGCGGUAAUACGUAGGGGGCAAGCGUUAUCCGGAAUUACUGGGUGUAAAGGGUGCGUAGGUGGCAUGGUAAGUCAGAAGUGAAAGCCCGGGGCUUAACCCCGGGACUGCUUUUGAAACUGUCAUGCUGGAGUGCAGGAGAGGUAAGCGGAAUUCCUAGUGUAGCGGUGAAAUGCGUAGAUAUUAGGAGGAACACCAGUGGCGAAGGCGGCUUACUGGACUGUCACUGACACUGAUGCACGAAAGCGUGGGGAGCAAACAGGAUUAGAUACCCUUGUAGU